rnacentral:tRNA from 4 species
GUCCCGUUCGUCUAGAGGCCUAGGACACUGCCCUCUCACGGCGGCAACAGGGGUUCGAAUCCCCUACGGGACGCCA